rnacentral:rRNA from 1 species
GAAGACCAAGGGUUCCUGUCCAACGUUAAUCGGGGCAGGGUAAGUCGACCCCUAAGGCGAGGCCGAAAGGCGUAGUCGAUGGGAAACGGGUUAAUAUUCCCGUACUUCUUACAAUUGCGAUGGGGGGACGGAGAAGGCUAGGUGGGCCUGGCGACGGUUGUCCAGGUUCAAGUGCGUAGGCUUGAGAGUUAGGUAAAUCCGGCUCUUUUUAAGGCUGAGACACGACGUCGAGCACCUACGGGUGUGAA